UCUGGUUGAUCCUUCCAGUAACAUAUGCUUGUCUCAAAGAUUAAGCCAUGCAUGUCUAAGUACGAACUUUUACACAGUGAAACCGCGAAUGGCUCAUUAGAUCAGUUAUGGUUCCUUAGAUCGUCCAAUCCUACUUGGAUAACUGUGGUAAUUCUAGAGCUAAUACAUGCUGCAAAGCUCCGACCUUCGGGGAAGAGCGCUUUUAUUAGGUCAAAACCAAUCGGCACUCCGUGUCGUCCGUUUGACGAAUCUGGAUAACCUUGAGCGGAACGCACGGCCCUCGCGCCGGCGUCGUAUCUUUCAAAUGUCUGCCCUAUCAAAUUUCGUAGGCCGGUGAUAUGCCCGCCUAGUUUCUUACGGGUAACGGGGAAUCAGGGUUCGAUUCCGGAGAGGGAGCAUGAGAAACGGCUACCACAUCCAAGGAAGGCAGCAGGCGCGCAAAUUACCCACUUCUAGCACAGAGAGGUAGUGACGAAAAAUAACAAUACGGGACUCUAUCGAGGCCCCGUAAUUGGAAUGAGUACACUUUAAAUCCUUUAACGAGGAUCUAUUGGAGGGCAAGUCUGGUGCCAGCAGCCGCGGUAAUUCCAGCUCCAAUAGCGUAUAUUAAAGCUGUUGCAGUUAAAAAGCUCGUAGUUGGAUCUCGGAUUUGGGCUUGCGGUCCGAUGUCGUCGGCUUACUGCUCGUCUAGAUCUACCCGCCGGUCUUCCCCCGGUGCUCUUAGCUGAGUGCCUCGGGUUACCGGAAAGUUUACUUUGAAAAAAUUAGAGUGUUCAAGGCAGGUGCUCCGCCUGAAUAAUGGUGCAUGGAAUAAUGGAAUAGGACCUCGGUUGGUUCUAUUUUGUUGGUUUUUGGAACUUGAGGUCAUGAUUAAGAGGGACUGACGGGGACAUUCGUGUUACGGUGUUAGAGGUGAAAUUCUAGGAUCGCCGUAAGACGAACGGCAGUAAAAUCGGUCGGCAUACAGUUAGCAGGUGCUACGUGUGUUGGUAGUUAACGUGGCAAUUUUUGGUAGCGGUGUGGUAAUUUUGCUAUUUAAGGGUGGCAAUUUUGGUAGUUAAGUGGUAAUUUUGCUAUUUAAGGUAGCACUAUUUCAGAAUUCUGUACAACGUGUGGCAAUUUGCUAUUUGGCAAUUUUGCUAUUUCGUAAGUGUGAUGCAUGGUACGAACGUGGCAAUUUUGGUAUUUAGGCACACUUUGGGGUCAAUAUGUAGGACGAUUUUGCCGUUUCGCCAAUGACCACGGGAACGUCGCCAAACCCCCUGGGGGCCGUUCUGGGGUCCCACCAAGUGAAUUCGAGGCCACUUUGGCCCGAUAACGUCGAUGGGGUCGGGAGUACAACCCGUGGCACUCUUUGCUAUUUAAUGGGAAGUGGCAAUUUUGGUAGCUGCGUCGAGAAAUAUGCUGCAAGUUGAGCUGGAUGCGCCCGUUGUAUCUCUUGAAGCCCCUGUUGUUUCUCCUGAAUGGGCGGAGCGUGCUUGCACAUUUCUAACCCCUUAAAACGUCCUUUGUACAUCGUCAUCUUUGUUUUUUCGAGCUCGUGGCAAUUAUGCUAUUUAAGGGUACUUUUGCUCUGAUGCUUUCAUUUGCUCAUGAGGGUGAUUUGCAAACGAAAUGCUAACUGAAUGAAAGCACAAGUCCUGGCAAUGUGAUCUAAUGCCAAUUUUAACCUUUUCUGCCAAUUAAUUGAGGAGUACAACUGUGGCAAUUUUUGCUAUUUACAUCAGAUGCCAUUUUUUUAGGUUGGUAAGCUGCCCUGAGCAACGCCAUUCGG
rnacentral:rRNA from 1 species